AAUCUGCCUUCAGGUUCGGGACAACCACUGGAAACGGUGGCUAAUACCGAAUGUGCAGUAAUGUGAAAUAUUUAUAGCCUGGAGAUGAGCUCGCGUCUGAUUAGCUAGUAGGUGUGGUAAUAGCGCACCUAGGCGACGAUCAGUAGCUGGUCUGAGAGGAUGAUCAGCCACACUGGGACUGAGACACGGCCCAGACUCCUACGGGAGGCAGCAGUGGGGAAUUUUCCGCAAUGGGCGAAAGCCUGACGGAGCAAUACCGCGUGAGGGAGGAAGGCUCUUGGGUUGUAAACCUCUUUUCUCAGGGAAGAAAAAAAUGACGGUACCUGAGGAAUAAGCAUCGGCUAACUCCGUGCCAGCAGCCGCGGUAAUACGGAGGAUGCAAGCGUUAUCCGGAAUGAUUGGGCGUAAAGCGUCCGCAGGUGGCUAUGUAAGUCUGCUGUUAAAGAGUCUGGCUCAACCAGAUAAAGGCAGUGGAAACUACAUAGCUAGAGUGCGUUCGGGGCAGAGGGAAUUCCUGGUGUAGCGGUGAAAUGCGUAGAGAUCAGGAAGAACACCGGUGGCGAAAGCGCUCUGCUAGGCCGCAACUGACACUGAGGGACGAAAGCUAGGGGAGCGAAUG
rnacentral:rRNA from 1 species